rnacentral:tRNA from 1 species
GGGGAUGUGGCUCAAGCGGUAUAGCACUCGCCUGGCAUGCGUGCGGCCCGGGUUCAAUCCCCAGCACCA